CCCCUUCCGGAAGGUUCGCGCAGGGCAGGCUGGGACGGGGCUGCCCUGGGUCCCUGCGCCGAGGCCUCCUGAGCCACCUCGACGUUGAGGAGAGACAGCCCUGUGCUCAGCACCUGUUACCCUGAGAAAACAUUGGAACCUGCAUAGGAUUUUUGUGAGUUUAUUUGAGCCAAACUGUUGGCAGUUGCCUGGAAGCAGAAUCUCAACGUCUGUCCCGGACAAGGGCGGUUUUCGCCCCGUUUUAUCCAUCCCAUCCCAGGAGGAGAUGAGGCCUGUGCCUUCCUGGAGGUGCUGCACAGCCACCGGGCAGCAGAGCCUGAGAAGCCCGGGCGGCGAGAGCAGGAAGCCCAGCGGAGCACCUGACAUCGGCUGCCACUCUGCUCCCUGACGGCUGCUCCCAGUGAGGCCGAGGCUGGCCCGGCAGAAGGGGACAGGCUCUCAGCUUCCAUCCCCUGGUUCCCAUCCCGCUGUGUCCUCUGGGAGCAGCACCAAUCACUGCCCUGGCGUUACUGCAUCAACCACAACACAACAGGAGCCUUGGAAGGCCGGUGUCUCCAUUUUCAGAGCCCAGCACAGGGCUUCACCGUCAGGCACCCAGCACUUACUGAGUAAGUGCCCACAGGAAACCCUGGAGAUAGUCCAUCCACUGCCACGUGGUCCCGGGGCUCUAGAGGCCUGGUGCUAUUCCAGGUCCUUUUUCCAUCUCGAAGGUGUUUCUAGUCUUUUGUCAACAUCAAGUAAUUCCAAUAACGUGAAAUUAGCUGACAAUUCCUUAGAAGAGGCAUAAAUGACAGGCUUACUGUGUAAUUUUGAGGCAGAGGUUUACCUACUUCUAACAUAGACGGAAUCAGAAAGGGAGAGCUCAGUGGGCACCAGACACCCAGCCCACUCCCACUGCUCUUGCUCUCAGAGCCUCGGACUCCAGACGUCUCCUUCCUGUACCUCUGCUGACAGCUCAGCUGGGCUGCCUUCCUUGGGUGAGGGCAAAUAAGUAGACUUCCGAAAGGUUGCCAACCCCCAUACUUUGAUCAAAUCCAAACUCUUCAAAUCAGUAGUCAAAAGUCCUCCAUAAAAAUGUGUAAGCUGACAAUCCACCACACAGGCACAAGGGGUUUACCACCUCAAGGGGGGCUUAGAAAAUUUACCGGGGGCCCCUCCUAGGAAUGGGUACCAUGGACUGUAUAUAGGGGAAUCCUCUUGUCAUCAUCUUGCAACUCUCCAGUAAAUCAGACACUCUUUGUACUUAGGAAAACUUUAUUUAAUGCUAGAAUAAUAAUAAAUCUAAGACGCCCUCCUAAUCUCUAUCUUUGCUGUCCAACAUCAUUUCCCACUAUUCCUUCAUCUAUACAAAUUCCCUGUUGCAUCAAGACAGGAAGCCCCACAGUCCUUUCCAGUCCGCUAUCUGCUCUCAAUGACACCAGGCCCGUAACCAGCUCCCUGAUUCCUUCUGUCCUGUUUGCUGAAGAACCCGAGACCCACCAGGCUCUCCUCCCCUCGGAAACGGCCACCACUCGGCUCUGCUCAGAGCGGGGUCUUCACUGCUGCCACACUCCCACCUGCCUGAUGGGGACAUCACCCUUUCCCGCCCAUCUCCUAAAGACGACCCCUGCGCCCGAGCUAGUGUGGCUCUGUGGAUAGAGCACUGGCCUGUGCACUGAAGGGUCCUGGGUUCAAUUCUGGUCAAGGGCACAUACCCGGGUUGACGGCUGGAUCCCCAGUAGGGGGUGUUUCUCUCUCCCUUCCUCUCUGAAAUCAAUAAAAAUAUAUUUAAAAGAAAAAAAAAAGAUGAUCCCUAGCUGCCCUCCCACUUUUCUUUGUUUAAAGUUCUACUGCAGACGGAUACAGGGAGAGAAUCAAGCACAAUAAAAAAGAGCAAACAAGUGGGCACACAACAAAAAUCCAGUCCUCAACUCAAAGCAAAUGGAGAGAACCCUAAGCCACAGGAAGAUCCCUCGUCUCCCCAAGCAGCUAGACACACACUCUAGGGCAGCGGUUCUCAACCUGUGGGUCGCGACCCCUUUGGCGGUCGAACGACCCUUUCACAGGGGUCGCCUAAGACCAUCCUGCAUAUCAGGUA